ACCGGCGCACGGGUGAGUAACACGUAUCCAACCUGCCGUCUACUCUUGGACAGCCUUCUGAAAGGAAGAUUAAUACAAGAUGGCAACAUGAGUCCGCAUGUUCACAUGAUUAAAGGUAUUCCGGUAGACGAUGGGGAUGCGUUCCAUUAGAUAGUAGGCGGGGUAACGGCCCACCUAGUCUUCGAUGGAUAGGGGUUCUGAGAGGAAGGUCCCCCACAUUGGAACUGAGACACGGUCCAAACUCCUACGGGAGGCAGCAUG
rnacentral:rRNA from 1 species